rnacentral:rRNA from 1 species
GGAAUCUUCGGCAAUGGACGAAAGUCUGACCGAGCAACGCCGCGUGAGUGAAGAAGGUUUUCGGAUCGUAAAACUCUGUUGGUAGAGAAGAACGUUGGUGAGAGUGGAAAGCUCAUCAAGUGACGGUAACUACCCAGAAAGGGACGGCUAACUACGUGCCUG